GAAGGAAUCGUCAUGAUUCUGCCCAGUGAUUUUUUUUUAAAUGGCCGCAGUACCUUGACUGUGCUAAGGUAGCAUAAUCAAUUGGCUUCUAAUUAAAGUCUGGAAUGAAAGGAAAUAUGAAGUAAUUCUAUCUUAAAGGAUUUUUUUUGAAUUUAUUUAAAUGAUGAAAAUAUCAUUUUAUAGAAAAAAGACGAGAAGACCCUUAGAGUUUUGAUAUUUAUAUAUUUUUGUUGGGGCGACAGGUAAACAUAUAACUUUACGAAUUAUCAUUGAUCGAUUUUUUAUAAGAAUAAUAAAACUACCUUAGGGAUAACAGCAUUAUAUUUUUUUUUAUGAUUGUGACCUCGAUGUUGGACUAGGAACUUUAUGGCUAGCCGUCAAAAAAGAUUUGUUCUGUUCGAACAAUUUUAUCCUACGUGAUCUGAUUCAGACCGGA
rnacentral:rRNA from 1 species